UACGUAGGUGGCAAGCGUUGUCCGGAUUUACUGGGCGUAAAGAGCGCGCAGGCGGUCGUUCAAGUCGCGUGUGAAAGCCCCCGGCUCAACUGGGGAGGGUCACGCGAUACUGAUCGACUCGAAGGCAGGAGAGGGUAGUGGAAUUCCCGGUGUAGCGGUGAAAUGCGCAGAUAUCAGGAGGAACACCGAUGGCGAAGGCAGGUCUCUGGGCCAUAACUGACGCUGAGAAGCGAAAGCAUGGGGAGCGAACAGG
rnacentral:rRNA from 1 species